rnacentral:rRNA from 1 species
CACACGACUCUCAGCAACGGAUAUCUCGGCUCUCGCAUCGAUGAAGAACGUGGCAAAAUGCGAUACCUGGUGUGAAUUGCAGAAUCCUGCGAACCAUCGAGUUUUUGAACGCAAGUUGCGCCCGAGGCCUUCUGGCUGAGGGAACGCCUGCCUGGGCGUCAUGC